CCUACGGGUGGCUGCAGUGGGGAAUUUUCCGCAAUGGGCGAAAGCCUGACGGAGCAAGACCGCGUGAGGGAGGAAGGCUCUUGGGUUGUAAACCUCUUUUGUCAGGGAAGAACACAAUGACGGUACCUGACGAAUCAGCCUCGGCUAACUCCGUGCCAGCAGCCGCGGUAAUACGGAGGAGGCAAGCGUUAUCCGGAAUCAUUGGGCGUAAAGCGUCCGCAGGUGGCUAUUCAAGUCUGCUGUCAAAGCACGGGGCUUAACCCUGUCAAGGCGGU
rnacentral:rRNA from 1 species